UCAGACGAUGCGUCAUGCAUAUCAAUAAGCGGAGGAAAAGAAACUAACAAGGAUUCCCCUAGUAACGGCGAGUGAAGCGGGAAGAGCUCAAAUUUGAAAUCUUAAAGGGUUUCCCUUUACGAAUUGUAGUUUAAAGAAGUGUUUUCUGUUGAGGUUUUGGUAAAAGUUCUUUGGAAUAGGACAUCAUAGAGGGUGAGAAUCCCGUAUUUGACCUUUACUUUCAACUUUGUGAUAGCACUUUCAAAGAGUCGGAUUGUUUGGGAAUGCAGUCCAAAAUGGGUGGUAAAUUUCAUCUAAAGCUAAAUAUUGGCGAGAGACCGAUAGCGAACAAGUACCGUGAGGGAAAGAUGAAAAGAACUUUGAAAAGAGAGUUAAACAGUACGUGAAAUUGUCAAAAGGGAAGCGUUUGACACCAGUGUUGUUUUUCUGAAAAUCAAUUAAAGAACUGUUUAUGCUAAGUUGUUUAGACUUUAUCAGCUAACUGUUUAGUUUUGAGCUUUUCUUUAAUGCACUUUUCAGUUAACAAGUCAACAUCAAUUUCUUUUGCUGUAAAAAAGCUUGAGGAAGGUGGCUUGAGAUUCGUCUUAAGUGUUUAUAGCCUCUUGCCUAUGCAGUCGGAGAGAUUGAGGUCUGCAGCGUAGAUCCUUCGGGGCUAAAUGCAUUUGUGCUAAGUUAUAGCAUUUUAUAGACAACUUGUUGACUAUGAUUUGUCUUGUAGCUUACUCGCUUAUGUUAUUUUACCUACGCUUAGGAUGUUGAGCGCAUGUCUCUCUCU
rnacentral:rRNA from 1 species